ACCGCGGNGGGAUCAUUACACAACAAAAUAUGAAGGUCUGGCUUCGCGGCCGGCUGAAAUAUUUUUUUCACCCAUGUCUUUUGCGCACUUGUUGUUUCCUGGGCGGGUUCGCCCGCCACCAGGACCAAACCAUAAACCUUUUUUUUUAUGCAGUUGCAAUCAGCGUCAGUAAAAACAAUGUAAUUAAUUACAACUUUCAACAACGGAUCUCUUGGUUCUGGCAUCGAUGAAGAACGCAGCGAAAUGCGAUACGUAGUGUGAAUUGCAGAAUUCAGUGAAUCAUCGAAUCUUUGAACGCACAUUGCGCCCUUUGGUAUUCCAAAGGGCAUGCCUGUUCGAGCGUCAUUUGUACCUUCAAGCUUUGCUUGGUGUUGGGCGUUUUUGUCUCCCUCUUUCUGGGAGACUCGCCUUAAAACGAUUGGCAGCCGGCCUACUGGUUUCGGAGCGCAGCACAUAAUUUGCGCUUUGUAUCAGGAGAAAAGGACGGUAAUCCAUCAAGACUCUACAUUUUUAACUUUUGACCUCGGAUCAGGUAGGGAUACCCGCUGAACUUAACAUAUC
rnacentral:rRNA from 1 species